CUUACACCAAAGGCUUGUCGAUGAAUGUAAACUUCCGGUAGUGUCCGUGCGCUGCCUCUACCCCAUCGACUUCUAUCACGAACUGAUAUCCCCUAUAUACGUCUGAGCUUCUAUGAUCUGUGCUCUGCCCUCUUCGGUUUGAAACCUAGAUUUUCUGAAAAAGGAUGGAUACAUCAUUUGUGAAACUGCAGCUAACUGACUGGAGGAACAAGACAUGUUUCCUUCUGACUCGUCUAAAAUCUGAGGGCAAGGAAGGAUUGCAUUUGAUGCUUACCGAUGGAGAACAGUUUUGGGAGGGGGAGUUAACUGAGGAGGAUCUUGAUUCUUUGAGCUCUAAUCUGAAGAUGGAUUUCAACAGUUAUGUCGGCCAAACUGUCAUGGCUUUGACAAAACCUCAUAGUAGUGAGUUCAGCUUUGCCUACCAUCUUAAACAGCAAGCAGAAGGGGUGGUGGACUUCCUCUGGAAGAAGGCAGCAACAGAAGAUAUCAAGAUACUUAUGGGCAGUGUGCUUCUUCAUAGCCAAACAGAUGCAGUUAGGGCCCUUGCCCAUAUAUUUGAUGCCUGCAUUGGCUCAGCAGAAGAAUUACACAACAGAAUUCACUCUUUAGAGACUGAAAACCAGAGGCUGUCACAAGAACGACAAAAUGCACUAAAGCGUCUGGAAAAGUGUGUGAGUGCUAAAGAGGAGCUGGAAAGAGAUUUGUACUCCAAGUUUGUGACAGUUCUUAACAGCAAGAAGGCUAAGAUCAGGGCCCUGAAACAAGGUGAUGAAGAAAUCAUGGAUGUUAUAGAAGAGACUUCAAACACAUCUUCUAGAGGCCAAAAGAGCAGAGUCAACAAGACAUCUUCUACAGUUAACCUUGAUAAAAGUCUUCCAGGUGAUGACAGCCCCUAUUCAAACAAUGAAGAAGACAGAGCUGGAGACACAGAUGAUGAGAAGCCGGCCAAGAAGAAAAGGGGGCCUGUUGACCAGAGUGCAGGAGAUGGAGAGUCAUCACUUGUUCUUGGUGAUGAUGGUGGCAACAACCAGGAGAAGGAAAAACGGACCUGUCAGAAACAGGGGAAGAGGUAAGCAACCACUGGCUAGACCUGCUAGGACUGUUCUACCAAAACUGUCCUCUCUGUCUUCAGGAGUUGGAAGCAGAACAUCCAACAGAUCAAACAUGAGAAAAAGUGGGUCUGGUCAGUUAGACCGGUCAGGAGAUAACCUUGACACAGAUGACCUGUUGAAUGAUUUUUGACCUGUAUUUUGACUGUCAGUAUGAUUGUGCAUAGGCAGCAUUUAGAGUCAGAAUGAAUCACCAGGUGUGGUGUUUGGCUUCAGUUUUCUUGUAAAGUGUGAUGAAAAUUAGUAUAAAUGGGCAUUCCAUAUCAUAAAGAGUGGUAUAGGUGCAGCUAAGUUUAUUUACAGUCACAUAGGAAGUUUACCAUCACCUUUAACCCUCAAAUUAAUGCUGCAUGGAAGAAUGAACUUGGAACUUAACAGAAAGAGACCGUUAGGUACUGGCAUCAUGUUACCUGGAUGUUUUCUAAGUUUGAGCCAUCAAACCUGCAAUUUAGUGACAAUACCAUGCUUCCUGUAGUCUUGGCGGUAGUGUUAAAUUGCCGGUCAUAUUGAUGGUAGUGUUAAUCAAGCUUGAUCCAAAAGAGGAGGUAAUUAGAGAGUGGUUACAACUUUUAAGUUGUAAUCAUUUCAGUUGCUAAUACACUAAUUUCAACAGUUUUAUAUUUAGUGAGCAUUUUAAUGAUAUGUCAGCAAAUUUGUUUGAAUUUAAGUGAAACUUUUAAUGGUUAUCACCAGGCUGUAUGGUCAAAUGUAUUUGCAUUUGAUGAAAUUUUUAAUUGGAGAUUUGUCAUGAUAUACCUGUGUGUCACACAGUUAUGAAACAUUUGUAGAGAAGAAACUGUUGCACUAAUUGUGGUGGACUUUAUGUUUUUGAACAAGACUUUGAUUAAAGUGGGGAAAAAGUAGUGCUGUCCCUUUAAUUGCGUGUAAAAUGCAUUUAAAAUACAGUAUCACUGUGCAUACUUUAUCGUUGACAAACUUCAAAUUUAUAAUACUGUUUCACAAUAAAUCAUGCAGAAGAGUGA
rnacentral:misc_RNA from 1 species